GUGGGGGGUCCGUAAGUGGUUAAUGCCCAUAGCCUGGCCAUAGUUCUGCUGGGAAUGGGGAGCUGAGCUACAGAGGAAAAGUAAAAACAUAGAAUUUAGAAGGUUUGUGAUAAAGCUUUAGGAUAAAUUAUUCCACAGUGCCUGCAGCUACAGAGAUAAUUGGGGGCGUAUUUCAUAACUCACAAUUAAGAAUUUGUAAGUAUUUGAAUGCCCAUAGUUCUACUUUAAAGUCCAACUCCGUUUUUUCAGUAAACUAGAGAUUAAUGAUUCUAACUUAAAAUUUAGAACUGUUUCCUUUUCAUAAAAAUGGGACACAGGCAAAGUACAGAAAACACCCACAUCCAUUUGAAUCACAUUACACGGUGAAGUCUUGAAUACAUGCCAUUGAAAUGUGGGUAAAUACAUAAAAUAACUUUAACUCUUUGUCCAAACUGGGUAAUGCUCAUUGUGAUUUGAUUAUAAUCUACCUAUAAAGAUAAUAAAUGGCUCUACUAGUGCUGUAAUAGGACCAUAUUCUGCCAUAGAUUUACUAGAAGUUUAGAGAAUAGUUACUAUGACCUGUGAAAUAUUUUGCAAGGUAUUCCAAUAACUUUAGUGAAAAACAGUCAAGUUCUUUUGGUAGAUAGUAUUGGAUACAUUGUAUCACCUGAUGAUUUUCUUAUACUACCAGAGUACAGUUUGGAAGCAUUUAAAGGGAUUGUCCACUUUUUCAUAUAAAGUGUAUCUGUCAGCUAUACAAAACAGAGGUCUUCACAUUGGAAGCAGUGGCUGUACAGGGGUAUAAAGAGCAACAAGCAUUCUACUCCUGUGCUUUGUCACUUGUUGUAUAUGGAUAGAAAUGAUAAAAACCCAGCUGCCCAAGGUCACAAGCAUGGUCAGCUUUACUCGUCAUGUUUUUUCGAUUUGUACAAAGCUCUGCACUCCUAUCAGUGUCUGGACUCAGACUGUGCUAGCUUAACUACCAGCAAUGAUUCCCAGUCUACACACUGAUAUUAGUCAGAGAAAUUAAAUAAGUCACACAAAACCCAUCCAAUAGGUGAAGUGCAAUUAUCCCAAACCAUAGAACAUGUAGCCUGUUCAUUUUGUAUCUGGCUUUUUUUUUGGUCACUUCAGCUAAAUUCAGUAAAAUUCUGUAUAAAAAGCCAUUAUUUGGUCUCAGCUCCUGUAUGCUCCCAGCUGAACCUGACACUUUUUGCUUAGUAGUUAUUUUGGGUUAUUUUGUUUUCUGCUGAGCAAUAUGUUGUUACUCUGCUCCUAUCUAUGAUAUUAAGAAAUAAUGGCGGUUAAACACAUAGUGAUACAUUUUUUUUUCAUAUGAGAACGUCUACUGUAUUUUUUCUAAUUAUAAACAAUGUAGUCACAUAUUCUAUUUAUAUAUUGUGUGGUCCCAUUUACUAACAUUUCUGUAGGUGGAACAUAAUGCAUUAUGACAAUAAGAUAUGUAAUAAGGAGAAGAGAUAAGUGCAAUAUUCCCUAGGAAACUUUCAUCCACAGUUAUCUUUUAUCUCUUAAAGACUUUAGUGACGAGAUUUCUCUGUAAUUGCUACACACCCUUUAGAAAGGCCAUAAAAUGGCGUAUUAACUCACUUACCCACCUCUUAGAUGUCUUUGAGACUAACGUACCGUAAUAAUAUCAUCUUGCUUGUUUCCCUAGUUUCGCCCACCUGUUAAGGGGAGCACAAGAAAUGUGUUCUUCAUGUUAACAUUUAGUAUUGUUAUUAAUAUUUCUUUUGGUAAUAUAUAUUUUGCAGAACCUUCCAACCGGAGUCACCAGCUAGUAAUAUAAAACAGCAGAUGCUUCCUAUCAAACAAUGAAGUAGCUUUGGGUUGACUCACUUUAGGGAGAAUUGAGCAAAAGAAAACAAAAUGAUAGUAAAGCAGAGUGUAAAAAUAUUAAUACACACAUUCAUCCAUUGAAUUGAAUAAAUCAUUUAUUUUGUAUAUUAGUAUAAUUAUGUAAUCCUAAAGAAGCUCAUAGGAUGUGUUUUGUAUUUAUUUCAUGUCUAAGAGCAUGUUACUGUUAUUACCUUUGUGUUUCUUGCAUUAUGUUUAAUUACAAUGUAUAGUUCACAGUUUUUGUGAUGUCAGACUCAUGUAAUAGAUAAGAAGUUAUUGCUUAGAAAGAAUCCCAGGGUUAUAAUAUUGGUAGACUGUUUUUUUUAUAGAUAGGUGCAGUCUGGAUGCCCUGGUUUAAUGAACGAAAGUUGAUUAGCUAGGCUUACAGGGUGGAGAGAGUUAAUAGAGAGGAAUCACAUUGCGUUACCAUUGUCAUGGAAGGGCAUCAAACUUGUUUUACCAUUGUCAUAAUGGGGUAUCGCUCUUGUAUUACCAUUGUCAUGGAGAGGUAUCACCCUUGUGUUACCAGUCUCAUGGAGGGGCAUCACGCUUGUGUUAUUAUUGUCAUGGAGGGGCAUCACACUUGUGUUACAUUGUCAUGGAGAGGUAUCACCCUUGUGUUACCAUAAUCAUGGAGGGGCAUCACACUUGUGUUACCAUUCUUUUGAAGGGGCAUCACACUUGUGUUACCAUUGUCAUGGAAGGGUAUCACACUUGUGUUACAUUGUCAUGGAGAAGAAUCACCCUUGUGUUACCAUAAUCUUGGGGGGCAUCACACUUGUGUUACCAUUGUCAUGGAGGGGCAUCAAGCUUGUGUUACCAUAAUCACGGAGAGGCAUCACACUUGUUUUACCAUUGUCAUGGAGGGGGAUCAAGCUUGUGUUACCAUAAUCAUGGAGGGGCAUCACACUUGUGUUACCAUUGUCAUGGAGGGGCAUCAAGCUUGUGUUACCAUAAUCAUGGAGAGGCAUCACACUUGUGUUACCAUUGUCAUGGAGAGGUAUCACCCUUGUGUUACCAUAAUCGUGGAGGGGCAUCACACGGGUGUUACCAUUGUCAUUGAGAGGUAUCACCCUUGUGUUACCAUAAUCAUUGAAGGGUAUCACACUUGUGUUACCAUUCUCAGAUAUUUGCCAGCACACCCAGGAUCAGCACAAAGUGGCGUCCAAACAGGUAGUUUUAUUGUGCAACGUUUGGGAGUCACGCAUGAUGCCUUCACAUGCCUGAUGAAGGGGUGCUGCGUGACUCCGAACCGUAGCACCUUUCUUGUGUUGUGAUCAUGCAAUAGAAUGACCCGUUUGGACGCCACUUUGUGCUGAUCCUAGGUGUACUGGCAAAUAUCUACUCGACUUAAACCAGUAUCCAGCUGGUUGUUGCUGCAGCACCCAAAUUUUGAGAGCUUACACCAGGAACGUGUGUGAUGGGAAUAUGAAGUAUUACCAUUGUCAUGGAGGGGCAUCAUGCUUGUGUUACCACUGUCAAGGAGGGGCAUCACACUUGUGUUACUGUUAUCAUGGAGAGGCAUCACCCUGGGCAGAGAUACACUUACAUGAUCAAACAUGUUAUUUUAGCAGUUAGUCAUUUGCUGCGUGUCCUAAUGACCCUUUCUUGCUGACAGUAUCCCAAAUUGGAAGUAUCCUUUAAGACGGACAUGCUCAAUAUAGCAGUACAGAGCACACUAGUACAAAUCAGAUUUCAGUUUUCAGCAGUCAGUUAAUUACUGUGUGGUUGUGGGUUAUUGUACUUUGUACUGUCUUAUUAAAGCCUGAUGGUGGUGGUAGCUAGCCACUUCAACUGGACUUCUUUUUUAGUAAGGUUAUAUUGCUUGCAGUUACCUGCUCUUCAUAAUUCUAAGCAAAGGUUUCUGAUUUCUUAUGUAGUUCUGAAAAAGUCACAAACUUUGCAAAUGUUUUGCACUACUGGUCAGUGUGUACAUGUAAAUUUGCACAUAUUUUGUAUUUGUGCCUCACUGUGUUUUUUUUUGCCCUUCUACAUUGUAUGUAUCUUAUGUUUAGAAUUAUAUUUUGGAACGAUUGUUGUGCGCUGUGCCUGAGAAGUUUACAAGGAUCUGUGUGAAAUGUCAGGCGAUAUCCUGUUUAAUAAAGUGUUUUACAACGUAA